GAUGAAGAACGUAGCGAAAUGCGAUAAGUAAUGUGAAUUGCAGAAUUCAGUGAAUCAUCGAAUCUUUGAACGCACAUUGCGACCCUUGGUAUUCCGAGGGGCAUGCCUGUUCGAGCGUCAUUAUAACCCCUCAAGCUCAGCUUGGUGUUGGGGCCUGCUGCACUGGCAGCCCUUAAAAUCAGUGGCGGCGCCAUCUGGCUCUAAGCGUAGUAAUUCUUCUCGCUAUGGAGUCCUGGUGGAUGCUUGCCAUCAACCCCCAAUUUUUCUAUGGUUGACCUCGGAUCAGGUAGGGAUACCCGCUGAACUUAAGCAUAUCAAUAAGCGGAGGA
rnacentral:misc_RNA from 1 species